CAGCCGCCGCGGUAAUACGAAGGGGGCUAGCGUUGCUCGGAAUGACUGGGCGUAAAGGGCGCGUAGGCGGCGGCCAAAGUCAGACGUGAAAUUCCUGGGCUCAACCUGGGGGCUGCGUUUGAUACUUGGUUGCUUGAGUGGGGAAGAGGGUCGUGGAAUUCCCAGUGUAGAGGUGAAAUUCGUAGAUAUUGGGAAGAACACCGGUGGCGAAGGCGGCGACCUGGUCCUUGACUGACGCUGAGGCGCGAAAGCGUGGGGAGCAAACAGGAUUAGAUACCCGCGUAGUCCCUGUCUCUUAUAC
rnacentral:rRNA from 1 species